GGCUAGCCGUAGCCCGUCCGGGGGCGCGGCGGGCCCCCUGCUCACGCCGUCCCAGUCUUUGGACGGCAGCCGGCGCUCGGGCUACAUCACCAUCGGCUACCGCGGCUCCUACACCAUCGGGCGCGACGCUCAGGCGGACGCCAAGUUCCGGAGGGUGGCGCGCAUCACCGUGUGCGGCAAGACGUCGCUGGCCAAGGAGGUGUUUGGGGACACCCUGAAUGAGAGCCGGGACCCCGACCGGCCCCCGGAGCGCUACACCUCGCGCUAUUACCUCAAGUUCAACUUCCUAGAGCAGGCGUUCGAUAAGCUGUCGGAGUCAGGCUUCCACAUGGUGGCGUGCAGCUCCACCGGCACCUGCGCCUUUGCUAGUAGCACCGACCAGAGCGAGGACAAG
rnacentral:lncRNA from 1 species